rnacentral:rRNA from 1 species
AUUGAACGCUGGCGGCAUGCCUUACACAUGCAAGUCGAACGGCAGCACGGGAGCAAUCCUGGUGGCGAGUGGCGAACGGGUGAGUAAUAUAUCGGAACGUGCCCAGUAGUGGGGGAUAACUGCUCGAAAGAGCAGCUAAUACCGCAUACGACCUGAGGGUGAAAGGGGGGGAUCGCAAGACCUCUCGCUAUUGGAGCGGCCGAUAUCAGAUUAGCUAGUUGGUGGGGUAAAGGCCUACCAAGGCAACGAUCUGUAGUUGGUCUGAGAGGACGACCAGCCACACUGGGACUGAGCAACGGCCCAGACUCCUACGGGAGGCAGCAGUGGGGAAUUUUGGACAAUGGGCGCAAGCCUGAUCCAGCAAUGCCGCGUGCAGGAAGAAGGCCUUCGGGUUGUAAACUGCUUUUGUCAGGGAAGAAAUCCUCUAGGUUAAUACCCUUGGGGUAAUGACGGUACCUGAAGAAUAAGCACCGGCUAACUCUGUGCCAGCCGCCGCAGUAACAC